rnacentral:rRNA from 1 species
AGUGAACGCUGGCGGUAGGCCUAACACAUGCAAGUCGAACGGCAGCACAGUAAGAGCUUGCUCUUACGGGUGGCGAGUGGCGGACGGGUGAGGAAUACAUCGGAAUCUACUUUUUCGUGGGGGAUAACGUAGGGAAACUUACGCUAAUACCGCAUACGACCUACGGGUGAAAGCAGGGGAUCUUCGGACCUUGCGCGAUUGAAUGAGCCGAUGUCGGAUUAGCUAGUUGGCGGGGUAAAGGCCCACCAAGGCGACGAUCCGUAGCUGGUCUGAGAGGAUGAUCAGCCACACUGGAGCUGGGACACGGUCAAGACUCCUACGGGAGGCAGCAGUGGGCAAUAUUGGGCAAUGGGCGCAAGCCUGAUCCAGCCAUACCGCGUGGGUGAAGAAGGCCUUCGGGUUGUAAAGCCCUUUUGUUGGGAAAGAAAAGCAGCAGGUUAAUACCCCGCUGUUCUGACGGUACCCAAAGAAUAAGCACCGGCUAACUUCGUG